GAUCAUGGCUCAGGAUGAACGCUGGCGGCGUGCUUAACACAUGCAAGUUGCGCGGUGAUCUCAAGAAGUUUCGGACGGAAAGGGAGAGCAGCAGCGGACGGGUGAGUAAAGCACAAGGACUUGUCCCGAAGAGGGGGACAACUGUGGGAAACCACAGCUAAUACCCCAUAAGCCGAGAGGUGAAAGCAGUAAUGCGCUUUAGGAGAGACUUGUGUCCUAUCAGGUAGUUGGUGAGGUAACGGCUCACCAAGCCGAAGACGGGUAGCCGGACUGAGAGGUUGUACGGCCACAUUGGAACUGAGAGACGGUCCAGACUCCUACGGGAGGCAGCAGUGGGGAAUAUUGGGCAAUGGGGGGCCAACCCUGACCCAGCGACGCCGCGUGAGGGAAGACAGCCUUCGGGUUGUAAACCUCUGUUGCAGGGGAAGAAGAAAGUGACGGUACCCUGCGAGGAAGCUCCGGCAAACUACGUGCCAGCCGCCGC
rnacentral:rRNA from 1 species